GCUUCUGUCUGCCGGUCCGCCUUCACGGUGUGUACUGCUGGACCGGGUUCUACCUCUUGGUGAGCCGGCAUGCCCUUCACUGGGUGUGUCGGGGAACCAGGACUUUUACCUUGAGAAAAUUAGAGUGUUCAAAGCAGGCCUACGCCCGAAUACAUUAGCAUGGCAUAAUAAAAUAGGACG
rnacentral:rRNA from 1 species